GGUUGAGUGGACUGAGUGGUUGAGUGGACUGAGACUCUGGGAGAUAAGGGUUCAAGUCCCUUUUUAGCCA